AGCUUUAUAGUUUAAAAAAAACAUAAAUUUUGUAAAUUUAAAUUAAAUUUUCAUUUUAAAGCUU
rnacentral:tRNA from 1 species